GACGAACGCUGGCGGCGUGCCUAAUACAUGCAAGUCGAGCGAAGUUUUUCUGGUGCUUGCACUAGAAAAACUUAGCGGCGAACGGGUGAGUAACACGUAAAGAACCUGCCUCAUAGACUGGGACAACUAUUGGAAACGAUAGCUAAUACCGGAUAACAGUAUUUCUCGCAUGAGAGAUAUUUAAAAGUUUGUUAUGCUAACACUAUGAGAUGGCUUUGCGGUGCAUUAGCUAGUUGGUGGGGUAAAGGCCCACCAAGGCGACGAUGCAUAGCCGACCUGAGAGGGUGAUCGGCCACACUGGGACUGAGACACGGCCCAGACUCCUACGGGAGGCAGCAGUAGGGAAUCUUCCGCAAUGGGCGAAAGCCUGACGGAGCAACGCCGCGUGAGUGAAGAAGGAUUUCGGUUCGUAAAGCUCUGUUGUUAGGGAAGAAUGGAUAUGUAGUAACCAUACAUGUAAGAGACGGUACCUAACCAGAAAGCCACGGCUAACUACGUG
rnacentral:rRNA from 1 species